rnacentral:rRNA from 1 species
UUACAAAUCUGGCUGUCGUGAUGCCUAAAAAGCAUUGCAUAGCAAGGGCCGGGCAAGACCGGUGCCAGCCGCCGCGGUAACACCGGCGGCUCGAGUGGUAACCGUUAUUAUUGGGUCUAAAGGGUCUGUAGCCGGCCGGAUAAGUCUCUUGGGAAAUCUGGCAGCUUAACUGUCAGGCUUUCAGGAGAUACUGUCUGGCUCGAGGCCGGGAGAGGUGAGAGGUACUUCAGGGGUAGGGGUGAAAUCUCGUAAUCCUUGAAGG